rnacentral:rRNA from 1 species
AUUGAACGCUGGCGGCAGGCCUAACACAUGCAAGUCGAACGGUAGCACAGAGAGCUUGCUCUUGGGUGACGAGUGGCGGACGGGUGAGUAAUGUCUGGGAAACUGCCCGAUGGAGGGGGAUAACUACUGGAAACGGUAGCUAAUACCGCAUAACGUCUUCGGACCAAAGUGGGGGACCUUCGGGCCUCACACCAUCGGAUGUGCCCAGAUGGGUUUAGCUAGUAGGUGGGGUAAUGGCUCACCUAGGCGACGAUCCCUAGCUGGUCUGAGAGGAUGACCAGCCACACUGGAACUGAGACACGGUCCAGACUCCUACGGGAGGCAGCAGUGGGGAAUAUUGCACAAUGGGCGCAAGCCUGAUGCAGCCAUGCCGCGUGUAUGAAGUAGGCCUUCGGGUUGUAAAGUACUUUCAGCGGGGAGGAAGGCGAUGUGGUUAAUAACCGCUUCGAUUGACGUUACCCGCAGAAGAAGCACCGGCUAACUCCGUGCCAGCCGCCGCCGUAA